rnacentral:rRNA from 1 species
GAUGAACGCUGGCGGCGUGCCUAAUACAUGCAAGUCGAGCGAACGGACGAGAAGCUUGCUUCUCUGAUGUUAGCGGCGGACGGGUGAGUAACACGUGGAUAACCUACCUAUAAGACUGGGAUAACUUCGGGAAACCGGAGCUAAUACCGGCUAAUAUUUUGAACCGCAUGGUUCAAAAGUGAAAGACGGUCUUGCUGUCACUUAUAGAUGGAGCCGCGCUGCAUUAGCUAGUUGGUAAGGUAACGGCUUACCAAGGCAACGAUGCAUAGCCGACCUGAGAGGGUGAUCAGCCACACUGGAACUGAGACACGGUCCAGACUCCUACGGGAGGCAGCAGUAGGGAAUCUUCCGCAAUGGGCGAAAGCCUGACGGAGCAACGCCGCGUGAGUGAUGAAGGUCUUCGGAUCGUAAAACUCUGUUAUUAGGGAAGAACAUAUGUGUAAGUAACUGUGCACAUCUUGACGGUACCUAAUCAGAAAGCCACGGCUAACUACGUG